UUCUAACGCCCUGUAAGACCCCCUUUCGGGGGACCCCCCACUCUAGUCUCUGGAGUGUGAGAGCACCCAAAGAAACAGGAGGACCC
rnacentral:pre_miRNA from 7 species